rnacentral:lncRNA from 1 species
GAAGAAAGAAGAAAGAAGAAAGAAGAAAGAAGAAAGAAGAAAGAAGAAAGAAGAAAGAAGAAAGAAGAAAGAAGAAAGAAGAAAGAAGAAAGAAGAAAGAAGAAGAAGAAGAAGAAGAAGAAGAAGAAGAGGAAGAAGAAAUCUGCUAUGCAGAAACAAGCUCCCCUUUAAUUUGCUCAGAUAUUGUCGGGACGUGAAAAAUGCAUGAGGAAAGAAAGACAAGGAUGAAGAAGUAAUGAUAAAAUUAUGAGGGGGUGAAAUGCAUGUUCAGAGCUGCAGGGAAAUUUAUUUUACUUGUGCAGAUUAUGCUCCAAAGCACACAGAGAACAGAUGGGAAAAUCAUUCAACCUGCCUGUAUCUCAAGUUUCCGAUCUAUACAACUAGGAGGAUAAUAUACACCUCAGGUUAUCAAAAACAUGUCACUGGCAAACAGAGAUAGUGUCUCCCUUUGACAAUUUGUCCCAUCCAUAAAAGACUAAAUAUUAUGAAGAAUUUAUACCAGAAUUGCUGUGAGGGAAGUUCAGGUAUAGAUGUCUUACUCUAAAUUAACUCUCCACCGUAACAAAUGUAACCAUAACACCCAAAACAGCUCCGGCCGCCACCCAGCAUGGAUCCCAUGGCUAUCUGCAAGCCUCAGGUGAGAUAUUAACUCUUCCACUGCACAGAUGAAACCUCCAAACCCUCAAUCCUCUCUCGAGUAGGAGAAAAGGGAGGAGUGAAGGUACAGGGAG